rnacentral:rRNA from 1 species
GACGAACGCUGGCGGCGUGCCUAACACAUGCAAGUCGAGCGAGGAGAGUUCCUUCGGGAACAAACCUAGCGGCGGACGGGCGGGUAACACGUGGGCAACCUGCCUUGUAGAGGGAAUAGCCUUCCGAAAAGGAAGAUUAAUACCGCAUAACAUUACAGUUUCGCAUGAAACAGUAAUUAAAGGAGUAAUCCGCUACAAGAUGGGCCCGCGGCGCAUUAGCUAGUUGGUGAGGUAACGGCUCACCAAGGCGACGAUGCGUAGCCGACCUGAGAGGGUGAUCGGCCACAUUGGGACAGAGACACGGCCCAGACUCCUACGGGAGGCAGCAGUGGGGAAUAUUGCACAAUGGGGAAACCCUGAUGCAGCAACGCCGCGUGAGUGAUGAAGGUUUUCGGAUCGUAAAGCUCUGUCUUCGGGGACGAUAAUGACGGUACCCGAGGAGGAAGCCACGGCUAACUACGUG